UAAUACAUUACAACUUUCAGCGGUGGAUGUCUAGGUUCCCACAACGAUGAAGAACGCAGCGAAAUGCGAUACGUAAUGCGAAUUGCAAGACCUCGUGAAUCAUUAAGAUUUUGAACGCACAUUGCGCUUUCGGGAUUUUCCCGGUAGCAUGCUUGUCUGAGUGUCUGUGGA
rnacentral:rRNA from 1 species